UACGAAGGGGGUUAGCGUUGCUCGGAAUUACUGGGCGUAAAGCGCACGUAGGCGGCUCUUUAAGUCGGGGGUGAAAUCCUGGAGCUCAACUCCAGAACUGCCUUCGAUACUGUAGAGCUUGAGUUCGGGAGAGGUGAGUGGAACUGCGAGUGCAGAGGUGAAAUUCGUAGAUAUUCGCAAGAACACCAGUGGCGAAGGCGGCUCACUGGCCCGAUACUGACGCUGAGGUGCGAAAGCGUGGGGAGCAAACAGG
rnacentral:rRNA from 1 species